rnacentral:rRNA from 1 species
GAUGAACGCUGGCGGCGUGCUUAACACAUGCAAGUCGAACGGGAAACCUUUUAUUGAAGCUUCGGCAGAUUUAGCUGGUUUCUAGUGGCGGACGGGUGAGUAACGCGUGGGUAACCUGCCUUAUACAGGGGGAUAACAGUCAGAAAUGGCUGCUAAUACCGCAUAAGCGCACAGAGCUGCAUGGCUCAGUGUGAAAAACUCCGGUGGUAUAAGAUGGACCCGCGUUGGAUUAGCUGGUUGGUGGGGUAACGGCCCACCAAGGCGACGAUCCAUAGCCGGCCUGAGAGGGUGAGCGGCCACAUUGGGACUGAGACACGGCCCAGACUCCUACGGGUGGCAGCAGUGGGGAAUAUUGCACAAUGGGGGAAACCCUGAUGCAGCGACGCCGCGUGAAGGAAGAAGUAUCUCGGUAUGUAAACUUCUAUCAGCAGGGAAGAUAAUGACGGUACCUGACGAAGAAGCCCCGGCUAACCACGUG